AUAAAAUAGGAUAAAUAUAAUCUUUAAGGUUCAUACCCUUAAGAUACUGAUUGUUUUUAU
rnacentral:tRNA from 1 species